UGUCUUUCACGCCCACAGUAAAACAAACCCAAAGAUUCAAACAGACAUUAGAUCCCCUUUUUUUUUCUUAAAAUUAUUAGUGUUGAUAGCGUACAGCUGUGUUCCAUCAUGGAGGAUAUGUGUUUCAUCAUCAACACAUGAAACCACAGAGAAGGGGGGCUGGAUUGUUUAAUACGGUAACAUGUUAGACCUAGAUCUUCAAAUUUAUAACUACUUUAAGGCGAAGAAGAAUCCCACCGGAUUUCCGACGACUCCGUCAUCUUCGGGUAGAGUGUUCCAGUUCCCUUCCGGCGAAGACGCCGCCAAUUUGAGAAGCGGUUGUGUGUGCCGAUGAGGGGUUGAGAAGCGGUUCUUGUUUUUUUUUUCAGUUUCGAGAUCGGAUAUAUAUAUAUAUAUAUAUAUAUAUAUAUAUAUAUAUAUAUAUAACAAGCAAGUAUGUAAAGGAAAUUGUCAAAGUGAAUGAUAAAGAUAAGAGUGUUUUGAUACCCGGAUUGGUGAAUAAAUGAUCUGAAUUCCUGUGAAGAAGAUCGAUGGCUGUUCCUGGUGAAGAGCAAACGGUGCUGAUAACGUGAUAAAAACCAAAGAGAAAAAUAGGUAUCGACACAAUUGUCAUUGUUUCAUUACAAUAUAUAGAUAAACAAAACUAUAAACCCUAAAGCCCAUAGGUAAUGGGUUGUGCCUAAAAUGUCUGGUUUAUAACAAUAACAAAAUUUUAGCAAUUUUACAUAGUUGAUUGAAAA